rnacentral:lncRNA from 1 species
GGGGUCAAACCCUAGAACACCAAAAUCUAUCAAAUUGAAAGGGGAAUUGAAGCCUAGUUGAAUGCAUGAACUAAGAAUGAUGAUCAUCUAAGCAUACCCAACAUCAAUUAAAAGUGAAUGUGUAUGAAUGAAACCCCAAAUUGGCAUGGACUCAAGUAUGGAAGGCUAACGGAUCAAGAGGAAAUGAGGAAGCUAUGCACAAACUUGGAUGCACGAGGUAAGUGA